UAUGUUACUCUUCUAUCAUUAAUAAAUUGGUAUUUAAGUUGUGAAUAAUAUGCACCUUGCAUACAUAUAGAUUUUCUUUCCUCAAAACAGCAUCUAUCUAAAUAUCAGUCUAGGAUACUGAUUUGAUCCUGGUUCUUUGGAGAAAGCUGAACCAUUUCUACUGAUUUAUAUUGAAGAAUGAUUCAACUAAGUGGAAAUGUGUUGCACUUCAUCCUGACAAUUUGGGAUCAAUUCCAAGUCCCAUAUAUCUAGAUAUUUUUAGGAGGAUCUGGAUCUGGUUCUUUGAACCCCUAUUUUUCAUUUCAUAGCUGAUCCAACUAUAGAUACAGGGAGCUUGUACUGAAUGUUGGAAUAGUAUUUGCCAUUUAGUAACCUCUGAUAGGAAAGCAAUGUAAAACAAGAAGCAAAGACAGUCUAUGAUGGGCAUGGGCAAAAGUGACUGAAAAGAUAAACUUUCAAAUGUCCUUUAUUAUCUUUUUUAUUACAGAUAUUCAGCAUUUAAUGCCACUUCAAAAAUUGAUCCUAUUAUUUAGGCAACAAGGAACCUCUAUUGUUAUAGCUACGAACUUGACUUGGAAAUUGAUUCUGAAAAUGUUCGAGAUGCUAUACUCCUAUGAUAAGAAACUCAAAUUUGACAAUCUUAUUAAAAUUUGGAAUCAAAGCAUGUUUAAAGAAAAUGAUUUUAACCUGGGCCUGCAAAUCAGAUCAUGGCAAUUUCAAAAUUGACUGAUUCAUUGAAGUUGCUCAACUUCUUGAUAAUAUUGAUUCAAAUGAGCAAUGAGCAGCU
rnacentral:lncRNA from 1 species